ACGAACGCUGGCGGCGCGCCUAACACAUGCAAGUCGAACGAGCGAGAGAGAGCUUGCUUUCUCAAGCGAGUGGCGAACGGGUGAGUAACGCGUGAGGAACCUGCCUCAAAGAGGGGGACAACAGUUGGAAACGACUGCUAAUACCGCAUAAGCCCACGACCCGGCAUCGGGUAGAGGGAAAAGGAGCAAUCCGCUUUGAGAUGGCCUCGCGUCCGAUUAGCUAGUUGGUGAGGUAACGGCCCACCAAGGCGACGAUCGGUAGCCGGACUGAGAGGUUGAACGGCCACAUUGGGACUGAGACACGGCCCAGACUCCUACGGGAGGCAGCAGUGGGGAAUAUUGCACAAUGGGGGAAACCCUGAUGCAGCGACGCCGCGUGGAGGAAGAAGGUCUUCGGAUUGUAAACUCCUGUUGUUGAGGAAGAUAAUGACGGUACUCAACAAGGAAGUGACGGCUAACUACGUG
rnacentral:rRNA from 1 species